GCUAAACCAUGCACCGAAGCUGCGGCAGCGACUCAACGUGUUGUUGGGUUGGGGAGCGUUCUGUAAGCCUGCGAAGGUGUACUGUGAGGUAUGCUGGAGGUAUCAGAAGUGCGAAUGCUGACAUAAGUAACGAUAAUGCGGGUGAAAAACCCGCACGCCGGAAGACCAAGGGUUCCUGUCCAACGUUAAUCGGGGCAGGGUGAGUCGACCCCUAAGGCGAGGCUGAAAAGCGUAGUCGAUGGGAAACGGGUUAAUAUUCCCGUACUGGUGGUAACUGCGAUGGGGGAACGGAGAAGGCUAGGUUGUCCGGGCGACGGUCGUCCCGGUUCAAGCAGGUAGGCAGAGUGAUUAGGCAAAUCCGGUCACUUAAUGCUGAGAUGUGAUGACGAACCACCAAGGUGGUGAAGCAAUUGAUGCCCCGCUUCCAGGAAAAGCCUCUAAGCUUCAGGUUACCAACAAUCGUACCCCAAACCGACACAGGUGGUCAGGUAGAGAAUACUCAGGCGCUUGAGAGAACUCGGGUGAAGGAACUAGGCAAAAUGGUGCCGUAACUUCGGGAGAAGGCACGCUGGCGGUAGGUAAAGUCCCUCGCGGACGGCGCUGAAGCCAGUCGAAGAUACCAGCUGGCUGCAACUGUUUAUUAAAAACACAGCACUGUGCAAACACGAAAGUGGACGUAUACGGUGUGACGCCUGCCCGGUGCUGGAAGGUUAAUUGAUGGGGUUAGCGUAAGCGAAGCUCCUGAUCGAAGCCCCAGUAAACGGCGGCCGUAACUAUAACGGUCCUAAGGUAGCGAAAUUCCUUGUCGGGUAAGUUCCGACCUGCACGAAUGGCGUAAUGAUGGCCAGGCUGUCUCCACCCGAGACUCAGUGAAAUUGAACUCGCUGUGAAGAUGCAGUGUACCCGCGGCAAGACGGAAAGACCCCGUGAACCUUUACUAUAGCUUGACACUGAACAUUGAGCCUUGAUGUGUAGGAUAGGUGGGAGGCUUUGAAGUGUGGACGCCAGUCUGCAUGGAGCCAACCUUGAAAUACCACCCUUUAACGUUUGAUGUUCUAACCUAGGCCCAUAAACUGGGUCGGGGACCGUGUCUGGUGGGUAGUUUGACUGGGGCGGUCUCCUCCUAAAGAGUAACGGAGGAGCACGAAGGUUGGCUAAGCAUGGUCGGACAUCAUGCGGUUAGUGCAAAGGCAUAAGCCAGCUUGACUGCGAGAGUGACGGCUCGAGCAGGUACGAAAGUAGGUCUUAGUGAUCCGGUGGUUCUGAAUGGAAGGGCCAUCGCUCAACGGAUAAAAGGUACUCCGGGGAUAACAGGCUGAUACCGCCCAAGAGUUCAUAUCGACGGCGGUGUUUGGCACCUCGAUGUCGGCUCAUCACAUCCUGGGGCUGAAGUAGGUCCCAAGGGUAUGGCUGUUCGCCAUUUAAAGUGGUACGCGAGCUGGGUUUAGAACGUCGUGAGACAGUUCGGUCCCUAUCUGCCGUGGGCGUUGGAAGAUUGAGAGGGGUUGCUCCUAGUACGAGAGGACCGGAGUGAACGCACCACUGGUGUUCGGGUUGUCAUGCCAAUGGCAUUGCCCGGUAGCUAAGUGCGGAAGAGAUAACCGCUGAAAGCAUCUAAGCGGGAAACUUGCCUCGAGAUGAGUCUUCCCUGUCGCUUUAAGCGACCUAAAGGAACGUUUAAGACUAAGACGUUGAUAGGCUGGGUGUGUAAGCGUAGCGAUACGUUGAGCUAACCAGUACUAAUGAACCGUGAGGCUUAACCUGACAACACCGAAACUGUU
rnacentral:rRNA from 1 species